rnacentral:rRNA from 1 species
AGAGUUUGAUUCUGGCUCAGGAUUAACGCUGGCGGCAUGCCUAAUACAUGCAAGUCAAACGAGGGUAGCAAUACUCUAGUGGCGAACGGGUGAGUAACACGUAGGAAACCUACCUCAAAGACGAGGAUAACUACUGGAAACGGUAGCUAAAACUGGAUAGGAUAUACAAAGGCAUCUUAGUAUAUUUAAAAGUCCUUCUGGGAAUGCUAUGAGAUGGUCCUGCGGCGCAUUAGCUAGUUGGUGAGGUAAAGG